UUUUUUUUCCUGUUGUUACACAUUUAAAGUCUAAAGAUUUAGAAGUGAUUCCUGCAAACAUAAAUCCACUGUAGCAUCGUUCAGCACCAGAGUAUUCUAAUCAAGGAGAAAUGAUGUGGCCCAUUAGAACUGUGUGACAUUUCUGCAUGCUCUGAUUAUAAAAAUUGC